CAUUACCUAGAGUUGUAGGCUUUGCCUGCUAUCUCUUACCCAUGUCUUUUGAGUACCUUACGUUUCCUCGGUGGGUUCGCCCACCGAUUGGACAAACUUAAACCCUUUGCAGUUGAAAUCAGCGUCUGAAAAAACUUAAUAGUUACAACUUUCAACAACGGAUCUCUUGGUUCUGGCAUCGAUGAAGAACGCAGCGAAAUGCGAUAAGUAGUGUGAAUUGCAGAAUUCAGUGAAUCAUCGAAUCUUUGAACGCACAUUGCGCCCCUUGGUAUUCCGUGGGGCAUGCCUGUUCGAGCGUCAUUUGUACCUUCAAGCUCUGCUUGGUGUUGGGUGUUUGUCUCCUGUAGACUCGCCUUAAAACAAUUGGCAGCCGGCGUAUUGAUUUCGGAGCGCAGUACAUCUCGCGCUUUGCACUCAUAACGACGACAUCCAAAAGUACAUUUUUACACUCUUGACCUCGGAUCAGGUAGGGAUACCCGCUGAACUUAAGCA
rnacentral:rRNA from 1 species